rnacentral:tRNA from 2 species
GGGGAGAUGGUUGAGUGGACUAAAGCAGCAGAUUGCUAAUCCGUUGUACAAUUAUUUUGUACCGAGGGUUUGAACCCCUCUCAUUCCG